rnacentral:rRNA from 1 species
UACGUAGGGACCGAGCGUUGUCCGGAUUCAUUGGGCGUAAAGAGCUCGUAGGCGGCCACUCAAGUCGAAUGUGAAACCUCGAGGCUUAACCUCGAGCCUGCAUUCGAUACUGGGCGGCUAGAGUCUGGUAGGGGGAUCUGGAAUUCCUGGUGUAGCGGUGGAAUGCGCAGAUAUCAGGAAGAACACCCGUGGCGAAGGCGGUUCUCUGGGACGGUACUGACGCUGAGACGCGAAAGCGUGGGGAGCGAACAGG